AUCAUGCUGGUCCUCGGUCAUUUCCGACACUUUUGACCUUUGAGCAGCAUAUGCAGUGGCAUAGAACGAUCUGAACAAGCCUGGUAGGUAUCCAAAGAACAAGCAAUGAAAUUGAACCCAUUUUCUGGAUGGGGUCACAGAUCUAUAGGCUGGGAUGACUGUUGUCACUGCCCUAUAGAUUUGGGUUGUAUCGUUGUGUAUUAUAUUUUCUAUGGAGCUAUGUAUGUAUGGAUGCUAUGGAACUAUAUGUAUAUAUGGAUGCUAUGGAAUUUUGGAUGUAUGGAUGCUAUGGAAUUUUGAUAUAUGGAUCAUGAAAUUUGUUGUGCAACUUUGCAUAUAUGUUAUGUGUUG
rnacentral:lncRNA from 1 species